GAGGUGUUAGUAAAUCAAUUACAUAAUCUUGUCAAGAUUAAAUUACAGAUGGAACCUCUGUACAUCUCA
rnacentral:tRNA from 1 species